GUCAAGUGGAUGGCUCAGUUGGCCAGAGCAUAGUGCUGACAACGCCAAGGUUGCAGGUUCAAUCCCAAUACAGGACA